rnacentral:rRNA from 1 species
GGCUUAGGAGUGAACGCUGGCGGCGUGCCUAACACAUGCAAGUCGAACGAGCGAGAGAUGAAACCUAGUGAUUCUCGAGCGAGUGGCGGACGGGUGAGUAACGGACGUGGGUAACCUGCCUUACAGAGGGGGAUAACAGUUUGAAAAGACUGCUAAUACCGCAUAAGCACACAGUACCGCAUGGUACAGGGUGAAAAGAUUUAUCACUGUAAGAUGGACCCGCGUCUGAUUAGCCAGUUGGCAGGGUAACGGCCUACCAAAGCGACGAUCAGUAGCCGACCUGAGAGGGUGAUCGGCCACAUUGGGACUGAGACACGGCCCAAACUCCUACGGGAGGCAGCAGUGGGGGAUAUUGCACAAUGGAGGAAACUCUGAUGCAGCGAACCGCCGCGUGAGUGAAGAAGUAUUUCGGUAUGUAAAGCUCUAUCAGCAGGGAAGAUAAUGACAGUACCUGACCAAGAAGCCCCGGCUAACUACGUGCCAGCCGCUGC